AAAUAAGAAUAUUUUUAAGGAAUCUGUUUAAAAUAAGAGAGAACAAAAAGAAACAGUGUGGCCAGCAGGCCCAGGGCAGUGACCGUCCCUGUGCUGGGCACUGUGGGGGCCAAACCUUGGAUCGUGGGUGUAGUUUUGGGCCCCACACGCCAAGAAAGGCCUUGAGGUGCUGGAGCGAGUUGAGAAAAGGGAACAGAGCUGGUGAGGGGCUGGAGCACAAGUGUGAUGGAGCGGCUGAGGGACCUGGGGGUUCAGCUGGAGAACAGGAGCUGAGGGGAGACCUUCUGAUCUCUGAACUGCCUGAAAGGAGCUUGGAGCCAGGGGGGUCGGGCUCUGCUCCCCAGGAACAAGCGCCAGGAGCAGAGGAAACGGCCUCAAGUUGCACCAGGGGAGGUUGAGGUUGGAUGUGGGAACAAUUUCUUCCCCAAAGGGCUGUGGGGCAUUGGAACAGGCUGCCCAGGGCAGUGCUGGAGUCACCAUCCCUGGAGGGCUGGACAGACGGACAUGAGGUUCUCAGGACAUGGGGCAGGGACAGGGGUGGGGGAACAGUUGGAUUCAACUAUCUUAAAGGUCUUUUCCAACCAAAAUGAUUCUGUGAUUCUAAAUCACCCCCACGUUGGUGACCAGAGUGCGGUGAGGAAAAUGGGAGGUUUAAUUAUUUGGGGAGAUCAAGAGCUAAGAAUUACCCGACUCCUCUUCUCCACUCCCCAUCUUCCACAAAAUAAAGGACAGCAAGGAAUAACUAUAUAUUUUUUAUGUAUCUCCCACUGGCUGGUGUUACAUGGCCUAAAAUAUAAGUCAAAUUAUUUAUAGUCAAGGCAUAACAAACAUGUUUAUUAAGCAUUUGGCAGCCCUUAAUACAAAACAACCCAGUGGGCUUUUCAAUGUAAACCCCUUUCCUCUCCCCUCCCUCCAGCUCUGGCUUUACCAUGACCAAGAGCAGAAGGAAUUACAUUAAUCCAGCAGCACAGAUUGAUUAGGAAGGAGUUAAAACGCGCUCGCCCCAUCGGCCGGGGCGCAGACGCGCAGCCCCACGCAGGUUAUCGGCUGCAAAACAUCCCGGUGGCGCUAAAUAUUUCAGAGACGCGGAUUCAGAAAGCGGGGGCCGGGCCAGAUGCUUCGUUCCGCGAUGAAUUAAUAAAGAUGUUCCCUCGGGGAGGGAUUUAGGCUGCAAUUUGGGCUUACUCAGCGCCCCUCGGCAGAUGGGAUGAAUUUGGGUCACACCGGCUGGAAACGGCAACCGGAGGAGCCGGGAGGUUAUUUCCAGGUGGUAAAGCUGCGCUGUGGAAGGAAGGAGAGGAUGCAACGUGGGAACAGCCUCCAGAGGAGCCCGAUCACGGGUUUCCCCGCGUCCCCUGCGGCAAUCGGCUGCUGCUCGGUAAAAGAGAUGGACUUUGAAACUUCCAGUUUGGUUUUCCCCCAUCUGGGUUCUGUCUGUGUCUCACCCGGGGGGGUUUGUCACAGCAAGAAGCUGUCACAGAUCUCUGGCUCGCUGCCCGGCGGAGAUUUCCCAUGUCCCGGCCAAAGCCUUGGGUUUUGGGGCCAAAACAAAGGAUUUUUGCAACUUUCCCGGUGUCUCACGUGCCGUAGGAAACCUGCGGCUCUGCUCGCUGUGGCGGCAGAUGGGGAGAAGCUGGGGGGGUGCCAGUCUCGCUGUCCUCGCGUUGAACCCAGGGGGACACCCCAAUGUUUGUUAUUUCUCUUAUGAACACUCACCUGCUGUUGGGACAGGACGAUAUGUGGCUGGUGGGGGGUAAAAUGAGCUGUUAAAGAGCCCCCAAAUCAUGUUGGAGGCUCCGAGACUCGGUGUCACUGAGGCUGAGCGUGUCCCACGGGCGUCACCAGCAUCUUCCACCCUGCGGGAGAAACGUGCGAGGAGAAAUCUUUCCUUUGACAUGGUUUUCACGGUACUCCCCACACCAGCCUGUCCAAGGGGUGAGAAACCAAAGCGUGUGACCCUGGUCACCCCCGCCCCAAUUCCCCGAUUCCCCAGGGGGUGGUUUGGUGGCGAUCACUCAGCAAACAAAAUCACCAGUGAGAAUCUUCAUUAAAAGCAAAAUACUAUU